rnacentral:rRNA from 1 species
UACGGAAGGCAGCAGUGGGGAAUAUUGCACAAUGGGCGCAAGCCUGAUGCAGCCAUGCCGCGUGUAUGAAGAAGGCCUUCGGGUUGUAAAGUACUUUCAGUCGUGAGGAAGGUGUUAAGGUUAAUAACCUUAGCAAUUGACGUUAGCGACAGAAGAAGCACCGGCUAACUCCGUGCCAGCAGCCGCGGUAAUACGGAGGGUGCGAGCGUUAAUCGGAAUUACUGGGCGUAAAGGGCACGCAGGCGGUUAAUUAAGUUGGAUGUGAAAUCCCCGGGCUUAAACCUGGGAAUGGCAUUCAAGACUGGUUAGCUAGAGUCUUGUAGAGGGGGUAGAAUUCCAUGUGUAGCGGUGAAAUGCGUAGAGAUGUGGAGGAAUACCGGUGGCGAAGGCGGCCCCUGGACAAAGGACUGACGCUCAUGUGCGAAAGCGUGGGGAGCAAACAGGGAUUAGAUACC